rnacentral:rRNA from 1 species
UACGGAGGGGGCAAGCGUUGUCCGGAUUUAUUGGGCUUAAAGGGUGCGUAGGCGGCCCUGUAAGUCAGUGCUGAAAUAUCCCGGCUUAACCGGGAGGGUGGCAUUGAUACUGCGGGGCUAGAGUGCAGAUGAGGUAGGCGGAAUUGACGGUGUAGCGGUGAAAUGCUUAGAUAUCGUCAAGAACACCUAUAGCGAAGGCAGCUUACUAGGCUGUAACUGACGCUAAGGCACGAAAGUGUGGGGAUCAAACAGG